rnacentral:miRNA from 1 species
UGUGUGCAACCAGAUAAACACUGUCAACUUGAAGAACACUCCUAGAGUUCCCAAUGGUGGCACUAAGCAUCCUCUCACAGAAGUCAUUGAUGUUCCUGAAGUAGUGACAGUAGGUG